GCCGGGCGUGGUGGCGCGUGCAUGUAGUCCCAGCUACUGGGGAGGCUGUAGCUGGAGGAUUGGAGGAUCGCUUGAGUCCAGGAGUUCUGGGCUGUCGUGUGCUAUGCUGAUCGGGUGUCCGCACUAAGUUCGGCAUCAAUAUGGUGACCUCCCAGGAGAGGGGGACCACGAGGUUGCCUAAGGAGGGGUGAACCGGCCCAGGUUGGAAAUGGAGCAGGUCAAAACUCCCGUGCUGAUCAGAUAUCAUUAUCUAAUUCAUGAUUUUAAAUCCCUGACUCAGUCUUUAAAACUAAAUGUUU
ensembl:misc_RNA Metazoa_SRP Metazoan signal recognition particle RNA